AGGCCAUACAGCAGCAGCAGCAACAGCCGCAGGUGUCAGUGCGGUUGAAAAGAGCAUCGUCGGAGUUCCAAGAUUCGAUAGUUGGGCGGGCCAUCUGGGCCAGUCAUCCUGUCUUCCCCAGAAAGGGGAAUCUGAGGGUGGAGAGCCCUCAGUCUGAUCAUGAUUCCACUCACGAAGGAACCCUACCUCCACUCUACCAGAAGACCCUCGAGACUCACAGUCGAGAGGACCUCCUGGAUCGUGGCUCCAAGAGAUGAACCGA
rnacentral:lncRNA from 1 species